UUCUGUUGUGAACACUGACAAGAGCUUGCGUUUUUGGUGAAUGUCAUUGAUGUUGUGGGCGUGUAUUCUCGGAUUUGUAUGUUUAUAAAAGAGUUUAGGCUGCAUUUAACCCUACACUGAUCCCAGGUUUAUGGAGUUACCUGAGAAAAGACUGUUAUUGUACUUUUUAGAGCAGCUUAGAAUUACCUACAGUCAACUUACAUUUUGUCACGCUACAUUUCACUUCUUGCUUACGUGAUGGAUCUUGUGAACAGGCCAUGCGUCUCCAAGCUCUUCUCAGGUGUGGAUGCAGCUCUUCCUAAAGCCCCAGAGCCAUGUGUCAAACGUGAUACGCCAAGUUCAAUGGCACAAACACUUCUCUAAAUGGAAGCUUGUGCGAUUUCCCCUAGGGCACAGGUCUAUUCAUCUCAGCACUUUGGAGCAGAAAGUGAGUUACUUGUAAAAAUACAUUUAAUCUUUAAUUAUACUUAAUGAUAUGCUGCUGUUGCUUAGUGUGUUAUUAACUAGAUAAUCAGAGAAGUGUUGUAAGGUGAAAAAGCUGUUAGAGAAUGUCACUUACUGAAAGGAGAGUCAUGUGGAGGUGUGACAGAGGUCCAAUGGAUUCUACAUAUACUAUAUACAUAAUUGUUUUUUUUGUUUGUUUGUUUGUUUUUGUUUUUAUGAAACAUGCACUUCUCUAUAAUGAUUUUAUACACAUGAUGACUUAAGUAUAUAUUUUUAAAAUUUUAAUAAUUGUUUGCAUUGUUACAUUUUGUUUUUUUGUUUUUUCUACUACUAAAACCUCUGACCAAAGUGCUGAGAAAGGCUUGAGUUCUUAGUGACAUCAGAAAAAUGCAUUGUGGGAGAGCAGAAAGAUGGUUACCCUGUGAGAUGAAGGACAGAAGCUCAUACAAGUAGCAAAAUAAGCCGAACCAGCUGGACUUUCUGUGCUGGUUGAACGUCAGGCCAAAGACAGUACAACAGAGAAAGCAGAGGGUUAUUGGCGUUGAUGCUAAGACCAAUGUAGCCGCUGUUAGUUUGCCCAAGUCCAUUUAAAGUCUCAGACAUCUUAAACUUGGGAAACUCUUCUGAUGAGUUUACACAAAUAGGGCAUCCAUGGUUCCGAAUAGUGUAACAAAUGAGCUUUCCCUUUAUUCCCAACUAACUCUUUCAGGAGGUCCUUUCUUUCCUCUCUUUUAUCUAGUUAUUUACUUAAUUGAACAUUUACUACUUUAUUUUUGUUUCAUAGGCUCUGUUCAAUAUUAUCUAUUAUCUAAUUUGGGGACAUAGUGUACAAGGAUUGUUAGAAUGCAUAACUCUUUUUUUUUUUUUUUUUUUUUUUUUUGUGGUUCUUUUUGUGUGUGUGUAUCAUUUUGAUUGUGCAUUGUGUGUUUUAAUUUGAUGUCAUUUUUUGUGCAAUUUCUGCAUAAGUCAAUAAACAAAUUUGGGGGGAAAAAAAGAAAAAGUCCCCAGACAUGAGAACGAACAGCCCAGUGCAUACCGACAUACCAGGCUGAUGGUUGGCGCCCAUGUGCACGACCCCAGUGCGGAGCCCACCCAGGACUGUCCAGCUCCGCCAUGGCCACCUUCUGCCUUCCUGCCCGGCCCUGGCUCCGGAUCAGAGGCAGGCUACAUGUCGGGGGACAGGCAUAAUGAUGGCUACAACCGGGCCAUCCCUUUCAAGCCUCACCCAGGAGUGCUAUUUGGACUAAUGCUAUUUCCUGCAGAUAAGAGGUCUUUUUACUUAUUUGUCUUCAUCAGAGUUGGGAGGUUGUGGAAAAAACACACAUAUAAUUCAGAGUGAAUUCCUCAUGAUCAUUAACAGGUUGAUAUAGAUUAGCUAAUUUGUUCAUUUUGUGGUAUAUACCAUAUAUUUUACUGUAUGGGACAACAUUUUCUCAAUAUAUCACUUACAAUUCCUUGCUUUAUUUUCCUCAAUCCAGAUAUCUCAUCAGAUUAUGUGACCUCCACCAGGACUUAAGUAGCCUAAUGAUGCGUGUGUUAUGUGGUUACUUUACUCAUCCGAGACGUUAAUAAUAGUUUCCAGCUUUGAAAUAAGAUUCUAGAUAGCCAGCUACAUGUGUUCUGGGCUGUAUUUUUCAUGUUCAUUUUUUGGUUUGGCUCACAACCCCUGGCUAUUUUGAAUGCUAAUUGGAACAAUAAUAGAAAUCUGUACAAUCGUGGUUUGAAAGCACCCACUGGUUUGGCCUGUGAUUGUGGACAGGACUGCAUAAUUAUGAAGCAUGGAUGAUUUCCUAUUUUGAUUAGCAGUUUUGCAUUAUGACCCAAGUACUCAGCUGUCUCACACUUGAAUACCAUACAGUACUAAUUAUGCUUUUGUGUGUUUUAAUCUGGGUUGAUUUGUUAAUGUUUGUUAUGUUUUCUACUGUAAUAAAAGUGAUGUACAAAAUCACUCUUCAAAAAUAUUCUUAAAGGCUGCUUUUUACAUUUUAGAUCCAUACAGAAGAUAUCAAAUAUAUGAAGUAAGGUAUAUAGAAUUACAUAGCAAAGAAAAAAUAAAUAUAUAUGUGUGUGUGUGGGGGGGUGUGCACGUGUGCACGUGUGCACGUGUGCGUGUAUUUAAAAAGGAGUCAAAAAGCAGUAAAAAUGAAGAAAAAAAUGUUGACGUUUUGGUUGUAUAAAUUAUUGUAAACCACUGUCUUUAUUGAGAUAUUACUGAUUUGUCUGCAAUGUUCCACAAUGGCAGAAAGCUUAUCUUUCAUGCAUGUUUAUGUAUCACCUGUUUCUUAAAUGUGAAUUGAUUCCAAGCACCCCCUUAGUAAGUGCUGACAUAACCCCAGGUUUUUUGUACCUCUGGUUGGGGUGCAGUUUACAUUUAAACAAGAAUUUCUCAAAUUAAACAUGCUGUAGACAUGGAUAUGAUUUUAGGAAUCUGCACAAAAUAAUCUAAAUACUGAUAAAAGAAACUAAUUAUUUGUUUCCAUGAGGAUAUAUUUGCAGGAAUACAAUAUUUCUGUUGGUAUUUUCUAAAAAAUGUCACAAAUGGACUUCCUGUCUGAAGAAUGCGUGCGUCAUGAAGUAGCAGCUGGCCACAGUGAGUGAGCGCUCUGUCCAUGUGCCUCCUCUUUGUAUCUAGGAUUUUUUCUGAGGCUCACUGUGCUUAAGGCCAGUGGUGUCGUCAGCAGCUCUGCGUGAUGUGAAGAUGGCCGACCACACAUCCGUCCACGUGCCCCUGAUCACAAUCAUUCAUAAAGUCAGUGAGCCCCACCCUAUACUGGCCCUUAUCUGUGUUCCAGCCUUCUCUGUGGACAUUAGCAAGCAAUGGGAAGUCCCAGCAAAUGUAAACACACUCAGUAGGUUUAUAUGUAUGGCUUAGUCACACUAUUCUCUAUUCAUUGAAAACUAAUCUGAUAAAGGGUCAAACCUCCUUGCAGUGACUCAGGUUGUUGUGUCCUUAGGCAAAACACCUCUUGAAUGUUUUGUGAAUGAAUGUGGUCAGUGUGUGGAUCAGUAGUAGGUGGAAGGGCUGAUGGUGUAGGGUGGCCGUAUCUAUUUGUUUUUCUAUUUACUUAACACUAUACAUAUAAACAGGAUUAUUAAACACAAACAAUUAUCACAAGGGAGACAGGUUACAGCACUACACUACAUUACAGCUCAGAUCUGUCAGGAGUCAGACUUAUUCACAGAAGCAAUUAUUGUAUUUUUGAGCAAUAAUUAAUAAAUGCUAGAUAGUUAUGUUUAAUGUCAUACCAUGGAAUAUUCCAACCAAAGCAAUAUCAUCUCCAUGGAGUCAAGUAUAUAGCAAACCCUCCACCAAAAAAGUUGCACAGUGCACCUUUAAGUGUAGAUUUUAUUGUGCAUUUGCUUAUGCUUGUACUUUUAUCUCUUUUUAAACUCCUGUGUAUGGUUAUAGGCCAACACUGCAAGUGUACACCUUCACAGCUGUAGUUGAAGUUGUAGUUGUGUUUUUCACAUUACUUCACCACUUAUUUAUAGUGGCCUAUACAAGAGCAGGCAAAGGGUGUGCCGACUCAGACUCCAACUGUAAGACUUAUCAGCUGCAAACAGAGUGAAAAAAUACCUGAUAGGCGUGAAAGUAUAAAUCAAACAAAACAAUAAUAUGCAUGAGGAAGUGAUGUGUAGAUUUAUGGAUUAACUUUAACUGUAGCUGGAAAUCCAAGGAAUGUUGUUCUGUAUAAACAUUCGUGUUUAAUGAGGUAAUUAUAGCAUACAUGGAUUUAACUGUCACCUGAGUUUUGUAUCUUGUUUUACCUCAAGCAAGGGAAGCUCUCUUGCCAACACUGCACCAGUUUUCCUAGUGUGUAACUGUCAUUCCCUGAUUACCAGUAUACAGCAAACUUCACUUUCUAACCAGUAAGUCCAGCCUGCAGCUACAUCACCAACGCCUUUUUCUUUGUUUAUUUAGUUAUUUUAAUACUGUGACAUUACAUUACUUAAGCUUUUGUGCUGUCCGGAAAUAUUGGUUUGAUGUGAUCAAUUUAAUUAAUUUAUCUCACUGAUUUAAAGUUGAAUAUAAUUUUAUCUGUUAAAAAGUAAAGAAAUAAAAAAUAUAAAUAAAUAAAACAAAUUAAAAAAUAAAUAAUUUAUCAUCCACAACCCCCUCUGAAAACACAUACAAUAAAAAACACAAUAUAUUUCAACUUUCAGCUACCAGCUUCUCUUUAUUACACUUUCUUAGGGAGAAAGUAUCAUCCUCCAAAACCUUAACUGUUAAUUUGUUGUCAGAGCAUAUUAUUUUUAUUUUUAUUUAUUUUAAUUUAAUUUAAUUUAAUUUUUUUACCAUGAGUUUAUUGUAUAGAAAAUAUAGGUCUGUAUCCAAAUAUGUCAUAUGUUGCUAUUUGCUUCUGCACUCACAUGUUCUGUAGACAAGGAUAUGUAAAAGGGAUUCUCUGCGCGUUCGGUUUGCAAAGAAAUGUUUUGGGGUUUUUUUCUGAGAAGAAGUGCUUGUAUCUGUAUGUGUUCUGUAAAGUGUGAACAAAGAGUUGCUAAAGUCUAUGUGCAUGAGUCAGUUGAAUUUCCACUGAGGUAAGCUGUCACAAUGGCUUAUAUGCGCAGUCACACUCACUAUAACAGCACAGUACCUCAAACCUCAGGAGACACAGGGCAUUUCCAAAUGCAUUGAUAAAUUUGGACAAUAAUUCUUAAAGGUGCAUUGUGUAACAAAUGCUUUUCUUUGGUAUUAAACCUUUCUAUAAUCAUGGAGACCAAACCAGACAAAGUUACAGGUCAGAUCAGUGGAGACCUCGCUCACAGUCUGUAUGCAUGUGUUUCUAGGUAUUUUUGAUCUAAAACCACCUAGAAUUUAAUAAACCUACUGAAAUCACUGAAAUUAUAACUUUAUUUUCCAUUUUUAUUAUGUUUUGUUAUGUUGUGCCUCUUUCAUGGUGGUUAAUAAUGAUAAUAAUCAUAAUGGUGUGGAUAAGAGUGUCUUUUUUGCUUCAUUCUUUGGCCACAGGAAGUGACAUUGAUGACAAAGGGAAGUGAGUUCUGACCCAUAACCGUUGCUCUUUGCAUUGAAAGCUGUGGUGCAGUUGGUGUGUACCUUUGGGCACACAAACAGAGUGUGAGCUUGGCCUUGUCUUUGCCCACACUGGCCCUCUGUAGUGAGUAGCUUCACUCGAGUGUAUGAGCUCCAGCUAACAGCCUUUCACACUUCCUCCUUACUGUCUGUGCUGGCUGAGGCUUCCUUCCUCCUGACAUUGGGCUCUGUGGGGGAGACGGGGGGGGGGGUCAAGAUGGCCGGACGUGCUCCAAUCACACAGACAAGGAACAGGCCACUACUGCUACUGUCCACAGUCAUCCGGAGCCACCAGCACAUGACAUCAUUCCUGUUUGGACAACAGGAAGAGCAGAGAGCAGAGGUGCUGAGCAGUGAACAUGCUCUAGUUUUACUCACUCACAGGAUUCAAAGACCACGGUAAAACAAUGCCUCUGUCCAAACUGGUCCAAGGAACUUCCUCGUAAGUUGACAGGAUUUCUUGGUAAAGGCUGAGUGUACCAGCUGUGCUGUGCAGUACAGUUGGGUACACUUGCCUGUGCUGAUCGAUAAUGAGUCUGCUGUGAGUGAGGCUGUAGCAGCAGCUGCACAGCUGUCCUGCAGCACUGAUCCUUUCAGAGAUCCUCUUUACUCCUGCCUGACUUCUGCUGUCCACAUCCGCCUCUGGAGCUGCACAGCAGGCAUCAUCUGUCUGUCUGGGCCUGCUUUUGACUUCUCGCUCAUUCUUUCCAAGUCAAAUUGUCCAUCUGUCUCCACUGUUUCUCCACUGUUCCCUGCGUGCUCAUUCUCACCCAGCUAUUCUGCUGCUGUCUCCAGUGCCACAUCUCAAGAUGGACUUUCCUGUUUCUUUUGGGUGCUGUUGUAGCCUUUCUUUCUUUUGCCCAAUGCGUCCCUUCUGUCCCUGUGUUCUGUGGAGACCAUUCCUCUUUUGCGCCUUUGUCAGAGGCAUGUUUCAGUUUCUCUGCUCCGGCCCCGUUUUGCCACUCGCUCUUAUUUCUUCACAAUUUCCAUCUCGCCCUUUGUAACUCUCUUGCAAUCAAAAGUAUGCCCCUUCUUUGCCCCUAUACUGUAUCUUUUCUUCCCAUUUCUUUGGCCUAACUUCUCAUUCUGCAGUAUUUU